UGUAUGCACGUCGUCGACUUAUAGCUUUGGUUCCUGGGAUCAGCUUAUAGGAAAAGGAACAACUGCUUGUCAUUGGAGCGAAAUGUCAUCUGAGAACUCCGACAGGCGUGACGAUUCCGACGACACGUCUAGUGAAUCUGAGCCGGGCGACCAUUUCUACCUUGAUCCUCUUGUCUCCAAUUCGUCAUCAGUCUCAUCAGACUCGUCUGACGCUUUUGAUUUUUCGUAACCUGAAGGAACGGAGGACCACCUUUCCAUUCGGAGAGAAAACACUGAUUGGUGUGCCUGCGAAAAUUGCACAAGAAUGCCAACAGGAAGAGAACGCAUCUGUUGCACAGAGGUGGACGAAGGGAGGAGCAAAAUUCUCCCAGGGCACAAGUGCAUCUUAGACAACCCUCAUUUCCGUUCAUUCUGCCUAGACCGACACCUUCUGGAAAUUGAAAUGGAAAAGGUCAUGUAUUAUCACCCUGAAGUAAGAACCGUGAAAGAUGAGAAGGCUCGUUUCAGGCACACAUCAUACCGCCAAGUAGUAUGGUUCCUUCACAGGCGAAGUCUUGGGAAGGGAACAGAGUGAUCAUCCCAAGCUGUGUUGUCACGGAAGUGCGGCGAACAUUCCCAUCACCAACAGGGAUAUACAGAGGAUUUUCACCGUUUUAGGGUGGCAAGCCAUUGACCAUCGUCACUCUGCUGGGUCAUCCCCUCCAGGCAUAGCUUCCAAGGUAGCUUCUGUGCACUGCCCUGCAGAGUGGAACACAAGCAGUUGUCACAUCUGUGUAUCGCCUCAGUUAUGUACACAAAACGUGUGAAUGCAAUACCGGUUGUACUGCAUGCAACAAAAGACACGGUUUAAAAGCUAUAAAAACCCCUGUGCUGGAAACAAAAUGACGACAGAAUGCUCAACACAGAAUUCUUUUGUUUGUUUCCCGGCACGGGUGUUUUUAUCGCUUUUAAAGUAUUAAAUAACGAAUAGCCCAAGUUUUAACCAUUUACAAGACUUAGAACGCCAUACGGUACCACAGUUGGACGGAGAAACGCCACGACUACAAUGAGGGUAAUAGUUGUUACAAAUUUACUGUGCUAUUUAAACGUGGAGACAGCUGCAUACAGCACAAUCACAAUGCACAGAUUGCUAAACUCGAGAGCAAGCCAUAACACCUAUUCUAUGCAGCUAUAACAAAGUUAAUGUAAUUUCUUUUCUCACGUGUUCCUUGAGGGAUUUGAAUUGUAGGUAAGUGGCCACAUGUUUAUCGCUACAAAGUAUGCACGGCCGAAUAGCAGACCUUGCUUGCAAACUUUGAAGCAUGAGAGUGAUUAGUAAUGUGAUGUUGUUUAGUACCGCACCUGUGGAAAACCUACUCUGAUGGUGUUCCACCAGAUCAGAUUUCGAACGUCUUGUGCGAGUGCUAGCUACAGGUGGAGGCACAGGUACAGGCGGCCUGCUGUGUUGCGUUUCGCACAGCUCCAAAGUGCACGCAAUCAACUUCUCGAUGUAGCCUAUACACAUGAGAUAAAUAAAACUGAAUGAACAGUCAUUAUUGUUUAGACAGUAGUGUUUCACAACAUUCAUUAGCUAUGUCUGCAAUUAGUUAAUGCUCAGGAGUUUGCCAUUUUUUAAUGUUGUUGUGAUGCCUUCUCAUGCAAUUAGAUGGAAGUGGGAAAAGCUACUGCUAUCAGCUUACCAAACGUUGCAGCUCCUUUAAAUGGGGUCACCACAAUGUCACGGUUUUUUCCCUUCGGAUACUUCAGUUUCCACAUCAGGACACCGCUCUUUGUCUUUACUUGUACCCUUCCAGCGUUUUCAUUAAAAUGGAGAGCAGCAAGUGUAGUCCUAAACGAUACGUAAUUGAAGAGAAAUAAAAAA